UUCCUUUGCUCCCUUUCCCUUCCCAGUCUGAGCAGAACCUGUGGCUACCAAGUUCCUGGAUGGCCUGGCCUCUGGCCACCUCUGUACCAUUGCCUCUUUGCCUCUGGUACUCUAGUCACCCUUGCCUUCUGUUGUUAGUGCCAUGCCUCCCGCUUGUCACAGGGCCUUUGCACAGGCAUAUUUCUCUGGUCCAAAGCCCUUAUCUUAAUCCAUU
rnacentral:lncRNA from 1 species